CAGUCGCCGCGGGAAUACGUAGGUGGCAAGCGUUGUCCGGAAUUAUUGGGCGUAAAGCGCGCGCAGGCGGAUAGGUCAGUCUGUCUUAAAAGUUCGGGGCUUAACCCCGUGAUGGGAUGGAAACUGCCAAUCUAGAGUAUCGGAGAGGAAAGUGGAAUUCCUAGUGUAGCGGUGAAAUGCGUAGAUAUUAGGAAGAACACCAGUGGCGAAGGCGACUUUCUGGACGAAAACUGACGCUGAGGCGCGAAAGCCAGGGGAGCGAACGGGAUUAGAUACCCGUGUAGUCCCUGUCUCUUAUACC
rnacentral:rRNA from 1 species